UGCGUAGGCGGACUAAUAAGUCAGUGGUGAAAUCUUUCGGCUCAACCGAGAAACUGCCAUUGAUACUGUUAGUCUUGAGUUCGGUUGAGGUAGGCGGAAUGUGUAAUGUAGCGGUGAAAUGCUUAGAUAUUACACAGAACACCAAUUGCGUAGGCAGCUUACUAGACCGACACUGACGCUGAGGCACGAAAGCGUGGGGAGCGAACAGGAUUAGAUACCCUGGUAGUC
rnacentral:rRNA from 1 species